ACAACGAAGAGUUUGAUCCUGGCUCAGGAUGAACGCUAGCGACAGGCUUAACACAUGCAAGUCGAGGGGCAGCGGGGGAAGGACUUGUCCUUCCUGCCGGCGACCGGCGCACGGGUGAGUAACACGUAUGCAAUCUGCCCAUAACAGGGGGAUAAGCGGAAGAAAUUCCGUCUAAUACCGCAUAACAUCCCCGGAGGACAUCCUCCGGGGAUUAAAGCUCCGGCGGUUAUGGAUGAGCAUGCGGCGCAUUAGCUAGUUGGCGGGGUAACGGCCCACCAAGGCGACGAUGCGUAGGGGUUCUGAGAGGAAGGUCCCCCACACUGGUACUGAGACACGGACCAGACUCCUACGGGAGGCAGCAGUGAGGAAUAUUGGUCAAUGGGCGGGAGCCUGAACCAGCCAAGUCGCGUGAGGGAAGAAUGUCCUAUGGAUUGUAAACCUCUUUUGUCAGGGAGCAAAGCUCUUACGGGUAAGAGCCUGAGAGUACCUGAAGAAAAAGCAUCGGCUAACUCCGUGCCAGCAGCCGCGGUAAUACGGAGGAUGCGAGCGUUAUCC
rnacentral:rRNA from 1 species